rnacentral:rRNA from 1 species
AUACGUAGGUGGCAAGCGUUGUCCGGAAUUAUUGGGCGUAAAGCGCAUGUAGGAGGCAGUACAAGUUGGAUGUGAAAGCUCCCGGCUUAACUGGGAGAGGUCGUUCAAGACUGUGCAGCUAGAGGGGAGCAGAGGUAGACGGAACUUCGGGAGUAGUGGGGAAAUGCGUAGAUAUCCGGACGAACACCAGAGGCGAAAGCGGUCUACUGGGCUUUACCUGACACUGAGACACGAAAGCCAGGGUAGCAAACGGGAUUAGAUACCCUGGUAGUCCACGCAGUAAACGAUGAUGACUAACCGUCGGCGAUACACAGUCGGUGGCCAAGCGAAAGCGAUAAGUCAUCCACCUGGGGAGUACGUUCGCAAGAAUGAAACUUAAAGGAAUUGGCGGGG